rnacentral:rRNA from 1 species
AUGUCGCCUGAGUAUGCGAUGGAGGGCAUUUUUUCCGUCAAGUCGGACACCUACAGCUUUGGUAUUUUGCUACUAGAGAUUGUAAGUGGAUUAAAGAUCAGUUCACCACAUCAUCUUGUGAUGGACUUUUCAAAUCUCAUAUCAUUUGCAUGGAACUUGUGGGCAGAUGGCAAAGUGGAGGAUUUCGUGGACCCAGCCGUCACGGAGAGCUACUCGCUUGAUGAAGUGUCCAAGUGCAUCCAUGUUGGGCUCUUGUGUGUCCAGGACAGCUCCGGUGCUAGGCCUCACAUGUCAUCCGUUGUGUCCAUGCUCGACAGUGAAGCCAUGCCUCGCGCAGCGCCGAGGCAACCUAUGUAUUUCGCGCAGAUAAAUUACGAAACCAGUGAUGCGACAGAAGACCUGGAAAACUCUGCCAAUGGCGUGAGCCUUACGGCACUAGAAGGACGAUAA